rnacentral:rRNA from 1 species
UACGGGGGGGCAAGCGUUGUUCGGAAUUACUGGGCGUAAAGGGCUCGUAGGCGGCCAACUAAGUCGGACGUGAAAUCCCUCGGCUUAACCGGGGAACUGCGUCCGAUACUGGAUGGCUUGAGUUUGGGAGAGGGAUGCGGAAUUCCAGGUGUAGCGGUGAAAUGCGCAGAUAUCGGGAGGAACACCGGUGGCGAAGGCGGCCUGCUGGGCAGUUAGCUGACACUGAGGCGCGACAGCGUGGGGAGCAACAGG